GACGAACGCUGGCGGCGUGCCUAAUACAUGCAAGUAGGACGCAGUUGCGAACGGGGGAGUAACGCGUAGGUAACUACCUAUUAGAGGGGGAUAACUAUUGGAAACGAUAGCUAAUACCGCAUACUAGUAGAUGGACCUUCGUUGUAUUUGCUAGUAGGUGGGGUAAUGGCCUACCGAGGCAACGAUACAUAGCCGCCCGGAGAGGUGGGGCGGCGACACUGGGACUGCGGAACGGCCCGGACGCCUGAGGGUGGCAACAGUAGGGAAUUUGGGGGGAUGGGGGGAGCCCUGACCGUGGAACGCCGCGUGAGUGAAGAAGGUUGUCGGAUCGUAAAGCUCUGUUGUGAAGGAAGCGGUACUUAACCAGAAAGGGACGGCUAACUACGUGCCAGCAGCCGCGGUAAUAC
rnacentral:rRNA from 1 species